AAAUACAGUUGCACUGUUUACAGUAUUUCUGAAGCCAUAUUUAUGGUACAAUGCAAAAACACAAGGAAAGCUCCAUUGUUGUAGUUGUUGUUAAUAAACUAACUACCUACAGUAUGACUGACAUAAAACCCUUAUUACUCUUUAUAAUUAAUAGAUGGCGAUGUUUUGUUUGGAGCUUAACUUGUAAGCUUCUGGGUUUUGUUUGUAUGAGACAAAAUGGGACAGCAUUGGUUUGCUCUAGAAAUAAAGGAGAGGGGCUUUUACCUUAGUCUGUUCUAUGAAAUAUUUAUAAAAUGCAAUAUACUGGGAGUUCAUUAAGAAGGAACCAACACUUUAUUUUUUGAUGAGCAAAGAAAAAUGCAAAAACCAUGCACAUGCACCCAAUCAUAUAUUUACUUUCUUUAGAGACAAAUAUGUGGAGCUGCUGAAAUCCUGCAGAAUAUUCCCCAGAACACCUACAAAGCAUCCGUGGCAGGAGAUGGGACUAGUUAUGGACCCUGACAUACCUCAAACUGUGUUCAGUUUUUGUGGACUCGAGGCGAGUGUGACGAACCUAAAUCAAAGCUUUUAAAUGCCCAGCCAGAUGUGCCUGGGGUGACCACAGAUCCUGUGUCAACAUUUUGCGGUGGCCUCAUCAAAUCAUCAACUGUCUCCCUCUGUGCCUGUCUGCUCUGGUCCCUCCAUGGGUUUAUCUAAAGAUAGAUAAAACAACACGUCAAUAGCGAUUAUGUCACUUGUUCAUUUGAGACAUUAUUCUUCCCCUCUGUCAUUUUUAGUCACAGUUGUGUGAUUUAACAGCGUUUAUUGUACAGGACCCAGAGUGCUCAACGCCUCCCUACUGUUUUUAUUUUAUGGUGGUAGAUUUAGUUUUAGUUAGUCCUUACAAGGGUUGCGGGGAUCUUGGAGCCUAUCUCUGCUUACGAUCGAGAGGUAAGGUACUGUAAACCGUAGACAGGUGUGGUAGAAUUUACUUCCUAAGCAAAACCCAAAUGUGCAUUCUAGUUCGACUAAUAUUUCUUAAUUAGUGGUCUGUACUAAUUAUUACUGUAUUACUGUAGUAAAUAAUGGUCUUAUUUACUACAGUAGCUGGCAGACUAAAUUCUGAAUUGUAUGAUGUGCUUUUAAUACAAAAUACAUUAAAUCUGAAGCUUUGUUUAGCUUUGUAUUGCUAAUUUGAGAGCGUCAUGGGUGUUCAUGAGCAAGCCUAAAGGACACUGGUUUAUACAGUACUGUAUGCGUAAGACAAAGUGACAAUAUACAACUCCCCAGCUGUGCCUCUAUCCCCAUUUGCUCGUUCUACUCCACAGAGCCUUGCUAUGGGCUGAGUAUGUCAGUAUCUGCUCUAAACUGGAAAUCUUUGGCUGCUUGUUGACACCACCGUCAAAGCCCACCAGGGGGAUUUCAGAUGCUAGGGGAUGUCUACAGCAUGGAACUUUCUGAAACCAGAAUGUUUUUUUUUUAUACUGUACUGUACCAAAAUAAAAAAAAGAACCUUUGA